rnacentral:lncRNA from 1 species
GGCACCUUUUCACAUUCCUUUUCUUUUAAAACGGUGUUCACAAGUGGCACGACAUGUAACAUAACAAUUCACAACAGUAAUCACGCUCACGCGUACAUGGAUCGAGCUCCACUUCUACUCUUCGGGCUUGCUGCGCCAUUUCUGCGGUUCACCAUGAGCGCCGUGACCCGCCGCCUCACGCAAGAGCCGCUCGAGGGCCACCACGCAGCGUGCCUCGGCGGCGCGGACCUCCGUGGCGCACUCCACCGCCCGCUUGGCGCACUCCACCACGCAGUCCAUGGGGCUCCCGGCGCGCGCGGCGUCCGGCCCACCAUGCGCUCCCCCCUCGCCCUUGGCGGCCACGGCGGCGGCGAGGAAGAGGAGGGAGGCCAGUAGCGCGGUGGCGGUGCACCUUGUGGCGGCAUGGGAAGCGGCCA